rnacentral:lncRNA from 1 species
UCCAGGUUAGGAGCAAAGGUCAGGCUGCGGUGUGAUGUUUACAACAGGGACAUUGGUGCAGGGCUGCUCUCCAGAGUACAGAACUCAGACACAAAUUGGGCCAGUGUGUGGAACACAACGGGCAGUGCAGAGAAGGAAAACCUGCAAAGCUAACGGUGCUGAGGAUGAGCCCAGGGCCUCAUGCCUGCCAGACAGUGCUCUGCCCACCCGCAGCCUGUGUGGCUCUCGACUGUAUGGCCUCCCUCUUUCCCAUGUGCCCAGAGAAACUCGAGGGGAGGUCCGGGGCUGGGCCCACAGCAGGCCUCAGUGACGCUCCAAGAGCCAGGGGAUCCCUGGGAGGCUCCUCAGGGCCCUCCGCUCGGUGCAGGGGGAAGACGGUCCAUUCAUGUCCACCCCAGGGCACCUGUAAGUAACAGGAAGAUGUGGAACUCAAGAUUCGUGCUCUUGUCAGAAUCACCGAACUGGAGGCACAUACUGCAACGAGCUACGCGGACAGAUUUGCAAGGCAUAUUGUUGGAUGAAAAAAGUAAGAAACAGGGGCUGGAGAGCACAACAAAACAUACUUACAGCGGAAGCCAUGCUUGCACACAAAACAAGAGCUCCGCCUGUUUCAACGCACAUCCAAGAGUGUAGAUGAAGUCCUCCAGUGAGUGCUUUGGGGGCACCGGUAAGUGGGCAUAGGGGUUUUGUAGCAUUAAAUGUGACGGGCAGUUGAUCAUUAUGUGCCAGGAAGUAAGGAGUAAGAUGAACUCAACUGUUUGAAACCAAGAGGCAUCUAGAAAAGAUAUGGAAAUGAGGAAAAUAAAGAAAGGAGGCUGCUGGCUGCAGAGAUCUUGGUGACAGCCCUAGAAGGGAGCCUGUCCUCCCAGGGCCUUGUGUGUCACUCUCAGGGACAGGGGUUUCCUCCCAGAGCCAAGGCCUGUGAUCCCAGAGUGAGGACAGCUGUGACUGUGCCUCCCAAGAACAGACAGGGAGGCUGCGGAGCCUGGGCACAGGGCGUGGUGGCUCGAAGCCAGGGCUGGGCUUGGGCGUCCCAGGGACGUAGACUGCUGUCCCUGCUCGGAUGCAACCCCUGGCACCCACUUCUCUGUGAUUCAGAAGUUGUAGGACUUGGUAACAGGCUGGAGAGACCCUCAGUCUCUUGAAGUGGGCCAUUACCAGAGGCACCGUGAGAGCUCAUGUCCAAGAGAACCGUCGCUGUGACAGCCGCCCACCAGCUCUCAGGAGCUGGCUGUCAGAUCCCCACAGUCUCCAUACACAAAAAAGAGGCUUUGCGCAAGUCCGCAGCAAUGGAAUCCAUCUCGCCGAGGCCCUGGAGGGCGGUGUUAAGGGCCGUGACUCAGGUCCUCCCACCUGGGCUGCAAUUAUUUAAUUUUCCUGGAAAAUCAGCAUCAUGAUGAUGAAUGCUUGGCUGAUUUCAGGGCAGAUUAACGCAUUGGAGAUGAAGUGCUUUCCCACUUAUCUUCCACUGUGUCUUGCUGAGAGCCUGUCCUGAUUAAGAGGCCAGGUCCUGCUCUCUUCCCGACGGCUCGCUCACCACCUCUGGCCCUCCCUCGGGGCCCCAAAGGUGGGGGAGGAUGUUCUUUGGAGUUUAUGUUCUUUGUUCUUCCUUUUCAAGUGCUUUAGGUUCAACUUCCACGCCUUGUUAGGGGAUGGACUGUGUCCCGCCCACGAAUCCCCUGUUGAAGCUGUAAUACCCAGGACUGUGGCUGCCUGGAGAUGGGGUCUUUGGAGAGGUGAAGUCACUUUGGGUGGCCCUAAUUGGGUAUGGCUGGUGUCCUCCCAGCAGAGGAUGUUAGCACACAGGCACUGGCUGGGGCCACAAGCAGACACCAAGCAGGCAGCAGCUGCAGGCAAGAGAGAGGCCUUGAAAGAAGCCAACCCUGUGGACGCCUUGAGCUUGGACUUCCACCCUCUAGGACUGUGGAAAAUAACGUCCUCUUGUCUCGGCCUGGGUCUCAGGGCUUUGUUAUGGCAGGCAGCUGUGGUAGUUAGUGCAUCCUCCGGCAAUCUCACACUCCCUGGUCUACCCACGCUGGCCUUUUGGCGUGGCUGAAAUAUCUGUCCUUCCCCUGGGAACCUGCCUGUUUUCCAAUGGCAGGUCUCAACGUGGUGGCAGCCUCUUUCUGGAGCAGGUGUCCCGUCCUGUGGCACAUGUCGCUGACCAGUUGCUGCCCUGUGUCCCUGCUUGGGUCCUGCUGUCCCUGCUCUAUGCUGCUCUGUACUCCAGCAUGUCCCCCAGGAAGGCUGAGCAUGACAGGGACUUGCAAGGAUGGGAGUUCCCAAAACAAGAGCAAGAGGGAGGGGCACAAGGGGCCUCAGAGUGGCCUUGUGCCCACCAUCUUGGGAACCCAUGCCCUUCCGUUGGGGAGCCCGGGGUGGCGCAUGGUCCCUCACAGCCUCUGGGCAACUCUGGGUCCAGGUCUGGCUCGCACCCGGCCUCGGCGUCAUGGGGACGGAGGGACGCUGCAGAGCCAAGCCCAUAAAGCCAGCUGCCAGCCUGUUCAUGCUCCAUCACGAGGCCCAGACACUUGUGUGGGCAGGACCCCUGCGCUCGAGGAGGCUGGAUGUCCGUGGGAAGGUGAGUCAGGACCAAGCGUCCCCCUGGCAGGGAAUCAGAGCCAAGAUGGCAAGCGCCACAGGACAGUUGUUUACUGGCAGCAGACAGGAAUAGCUCAGCGAGCCAUUGCACAACAGCCAGGCCUGCCAGCAUGGCGGGAGGGAGGCGCCCGGACACGGGUCCCUGCUGCCCGAAAUCCCAGAAGCCCUUUGGCUCUGUCUCCCGCCGCCUGCUCCUCUCUGCCACCCCGGGACCUUCUCCAAUGACAGUGGGUCCGAAGGCCUGGCCGACUCUAAGCUGAGGGGCAGCCAGACCUCCUGGCCUCGUGGGCUGUGCAAGUGAUGGGAGUGGGGAGCCUGGGUCUGUGGUCAUCAGCCCCAGGGGUUGUGAGGCAGCAAGAGGCCCCGUCCUGCCUACUUCCAGGCUCCCCAGAUCCUGGCUGUUUCUUCAGAGUGACCCCUGGGAUCUCCACACCGCCUGAGGGGAGGCAGGAAAGGGCAGCCCUGGGGCUGAGGAAGGCGGGGCCAGGAGGACGGAUGGUCCCCACAGCGAGUCCACCGAAGAUGCUCAUUGGCAGGAGGAGGCUGUUCCCGAGGAAGACUGUUUGGGUGAUGUGUGAACUUACAUAACAGCAAGAGGAGGCCAUUUGUACACACCAAGCUGGCCCCUCCUUCCACCCGCACACCGGCCCUCUCCCCAGGGAAUGGACUUCUCCACCCUCGCCUCUCCGUUCUCACCGAAGCACCAGUAUUAGUGGAUGUGAAUGGCUUUCGCGCCGACGCAGCCCACCAGACAAGAUGGGCAGCAGGAGCACACCCCCCAUCACCCUUCUUCAAGACGCCCCAUAAAAUACCAGCUGCAAUCGGAGCACCUCUUUCUCUUGAGAGUCCACACGUAUUUCUUUGUUUACUUUAGAUUCUGCCUAAUAAAUCCCUUUAUGUCUCUUCCUGAUC